rnacentral:rRNA from 1 species
UACGUAGGGGGCAAGCGUUGUCCGGAUUUAUUGGGCGUAAAGAGCGUGUAGGCGGCCUGACAGGUCUGCUGUGAAAACUCGAGGCUCAACCUCGAGAUGUCGGCGGAAACCAUCCAGCUAGAGUCCGGAAGAGGAGAGUGGAAUUCCUGGUGUAGCGGUGAAAUGCGCAGAUAUCAGGAAGAACACCCGUGGCGAAGGCGGCUCUCUGGGACGGUACUGACGCUGAGACGCGAAAGCGUGGGGAGCGAACAGG